UACGUAGGGAGCAAGCGUUGUCCGGAAUCAUUGGGCGUAAAGCGCGCGUAGGCGGCCCUGUAAGUCCGCUGUGAAAGUCAAAGGCUCAACCUUUGAAAGCCGGUGGAUACUGCAGGGCUAGAGUCCGGAAGAGGCGAGUGGAAUUCCUGGUGUAGCGGUGAAAUGCGCAGAUAUCGGGAGGAACACCGGUGGCGAAGGCGGUUCUCUGGGCCUUACCUGACGCUGAGGAGCGAAAGCGUGGGGAGCGAACAGG
rnacentral:rRNA from 1 species